UACGUAGGGUGCGAGCGUUGUCCGGAAUUAUUGGGCGUAAAGAGCUCGUAGGCGGUUUGUCGCGCGUUCGUGAAAACUCCACGCUUAACGUGGAGCGUGCGGGCGAGUACGGGCAGACUUGAGUUCGGUAGGGGAGACUGGAAUCCUGGUGUAGCGGUGAAAUGCGGCAGACUAUCAAGGAGGAACACCGGUGGGCGAAGGCGAGUCCCUGGACAACACCUGACACUGGAGGCAACGAAAGCUAGGGGAGCAAACAGGAUUA
rnacentral:rRNA from 1 species